AAUCGUGCCAGCCCACAUGCCGACUAUGACUUUGACCUCCAUCUAUAAAAGGAGACAAGAAGAGAGACCCCAGGUAUGCAAUAAUUCUAAGCCCCACGCUCCUCUAUCUGUUGGUUCUACUAGCUGACUUAAGCAUCGGAGGAUCCCCAUCGGAAUAUUUUUUUGUCUGAACUUUUUAUAAGUACACCAUCCAGAGGCCCCUGUUCACACCUGCAAUUCCAGCGAAUCCGGCGU
rnacentral:lncRNA from 1 species